UGGCCAAAAAAGCAGUGUGAGGUCACUUGGCUCAAGCCAAGUGAGGGCGUUUUUCCAGCUUGCUGGCACCCCUGAUUAUUCAGGAAGGUGAUCCCCAUUAGUUCAACUUUUAGCCACCCCGCCGCGCUGCUUUUUUGCC
rnacentral:ncRNA from 12 species